GGUAGAGUCUUUGUUUUUUGCUGAGUCACAUUGUUUUUGGAGAAGGUCGACGAGAGAGUUGGCUGGGUGUAGUCCCGCACUGGAUGUUUGAGUGAGAGAUAAGCGAGCCCAGAGGGUCGAGACAAGUACCAUUGAUGGCAACCAUUUAUGGUUUUCGUAUACCUUCAGUCGGGACCCAUUUAUAUAUAUAUAUGCAGAUUGACAUUGUGGUAUACUGUGUAUGUUACACCUAAAUAAAUAAG